rnacentral:lncRNA from 13 species
CCUCUCGAACUCUUACUCGACCUGCAGAGCCCAAGUCCUGUGCCCCGCCCCCCACCCGCCGGACACCCGGGUUCUGCGGCCCCCAGCGGAGGGGGUCUCUGCGGGCAGGCGGCGCCCAGGCCCCACCGCGCCCCCCCAGCGCGACCCCCACCCACCUCCACGAAGUAGAAACAGGGCAGGAGCGUCAUGCUGUCCUUCGGGCUCUUGUUCUUCUCCUUGGUCGGGAUCAUGGUGCCGCGGGCGCCACAGGCCGUGGCUGGAGGGGAGACAGCGGCGCUGGCGCGGGGGGCGCACGGCGGGGAACGCGGUGGCCGGCGCGGGCGGGGGAGGGGCGGCCCGGGAAGCGCCCGAGCGGUCGGGGAAACUGAGGCCGGGGGAGGGCGGCGUCCGCGCAGCCUCCCCGCGCCCCGGCCCGGGACCGACCCGGCUUCCAGGCGCCCCGCGCCGGCGAUCGUGGGGUCGGGACUCGGAUCGGCGGAGAGGGCGGGCCCGGCCUGGCCGGGGGUGUCGGGGCGUCGGGGAGAAGGUGGGUCCGCGCCCCCGCCCCGCAGCCCCUCACCUGGCGCGGCCGGCGCGCAGCACAAAGCGGGGGGCGGGGCCGGGAGCGCGAGGGGGGAGGGGAGGGGCCGGGACCCCCGGGGCCGCCGCAGCCCAGACGCCGCGCGAGGGGCGGGGGCUCUUUGUCCGGCGCGUCCCCGCCUCCCUCCCUCCGCCGCGGGGUCUCGGGGUCUCGGGGUCUCGGGGUCUCGGGGUCUCGGGGUCUCGGGGUCUCGGGGUCUCGGGGCCGCGUCCUCCUCCUCCCUCCGGGCCGCGCGUGGCCGCGGAUUCGGGGUCUCCGCGCGUGUCUGCGCCUCUCACGGCCUCUCGCGGGCUCCGGCUCCCCCCGCCCCGCGCCCCCGCCCGCCCCUCCGCGGAGCCCGCAGAUCGCCGGGCGCGUUUCCAUGGCGCGGUUCCCGGGGCGCCCGGAGCCGCCGGAGACAAAAGGGCUGGGGGCUGUCGGCUGCGGAGCGGGGCGGGGGGUCCCCACUGCCUCCCCCUUCCCGCCGCCGCACUCACCCUCGCCCCCUCCGCCGCCCCGGGGUCCCCCCUCCGCCUGGCAGCAGUCGCCUGAGGCACAAGACGAGGACGCGGGCGGGG